CGCCGCGAGCCUUCGCCCGGAGGCCGCCGCGGGGACUGCGGCGCUCCGGCCCGACGCCAUCCAGCUGCGCCGCAGCCGACCAAUCAGCUUCCGUAUCCCGAGCCUUCCGCCUCAGCUAUCACUGCGGAAUCACACGUGAGGGAAGAACGGACAGGCACUGGGUGCUCGGAACAGCGCCCUCUGCAUCAGGGAGGGGUGACCUCCGGUUCUCAGCGCCACUGGGGCAGUCUGCGCUUUGGUGUCACCUGGCAAGAGGUCCAGGUGGGUGAGCUAGGAGGGGAGCGCUGGCCCUGGUGCAAAGGCAAGCACCUCCAAGAGCGUGCUCCAAGGUGAGCUGCGGUGAGCUGCCAAGUGAGCAGGGAGGGGGUUGAAGACAGCUGUCUCCAGGAGAAGAGUAGAAUCCAGGAGGCCUCAAGAGAGCGUUGUAAGGCUAACAACUGGAAGUUAAUGGAGACUUAGAUUAAAAACAAGAAACGAUUCCUUAGGAAUCGAGUAUGAAACACCCCUACCCUUAACAUCCACCCUAUUACAGUGUUUCAAAUAUGGACUGACUUACCACUUUGUGCAUUCAGUACUCAUUUCGUGAAGGCUUAAUGCACUGCCGUGCAGUCUAUAUCCGCCCCAGAGCCCUAGCUAGUGCGUGUAGUCCCUGUUGUCUUACUGUCUCAGAAACUGUCCAGCCCAGGCUGCAAUCAAGACCUGCAAGGGCCUCAAGGGAUCCCUGGUAUCCAGAAUCUGGUUAUUCAGAUCUGCUAUAAUCUGAAUACCCGAGAAUAACAUUCAUUACAUAUAAGGGAAGGUGUUUCUUUUUCUUUGAAUUGAGUUUUACCCUAUCAAGCAGCCAAAAUUUCUAUCAGAUGUCCAGUCCCUGGUCCAGAACACAAGGGAGCUAUGGAGGCAACCUUACUAUGGAGUGUCUUAAACCAGAGAACUUUGUGUUUCUGGCUACAUCUAGUAGGAAACCCCACACAGCUGCACCUUAUUAACAUUCAAGGUUGCGUGAUAGUGUAGAAUACUGGGAGAGCCUAUUAAAUAUAAUUUUGCAGAAUUACUUUGACCCAUAUAAUUUGUGAACAAAAGGGAAGACUAUAUAGAGAUGAAAUUUCAAAUUGAAUAUGUAAGUUGAAGUUCAUAAAUAAAAUUUAUGAUGUGCAUGUUCUUA